UACGGAGGGGGCAAGCGUUGUUCGGAAUCAUUGGGCGUAAAGGGCGCGUAGGUGGUUCUGUAUGUCUACCGUGAAAGCGUACGGCUCAACCGUAUUUUGUCGGUGGAAACUGCAGGACUUGAGGCUGGGAGGGGCUGGUGGAAUUCCCUGUGUAGCGGUGAAAUGCGUAGAGAUGGGGGAGAACACUCGUGGCGAAGGCGGCCAGCUAGACCAGUUCUGACACUGAGGCGCGACAGCGUGGGGAGCAAACAGG
rnacentral:rRNA from 1 species